GACGUAGGGUCCGAGCGUUGUCCGGAAUUACUGGGCGUAAAGGGCGCGUAGGCGGUCUUCUGCGUCACACGUGAAAGCCCCUGGCUCAACCAGGGAGGGUCGUGUGAAACGGGGGAACUGGAGGCAGCGAGAGGCUGGUGGAAUUCCCGGAGUAGUGGUGAAAUGCGUAGAUAUCGAGAGGAACACCAGUGGCGAAGGCGGCUCACUGGGCACCACCUGACGCUGAGGCGCGAAAGCGUGGGGAGCGAACCGG
rnacentral:rRNA from 1 species